GAUGAACGCUGGCGGCGUGCCUAAUACAUGCAAGUCGAGCGAACAGACGAGGAGCUUGCUCCUCUGACGUUAGCGGCGGACGGGUGAGUAACACGUGGAUAACCUACCUAUAAGACUGGGAUAACUUCGGGAAACCGGAGCUAAUACCGGAUAAUAUAUUGAACCGCAUGGUUCAAUAGUGAAAGACGGUUUUGCUGUCACUUAUAGAUGGAUCCGCGCCGGAUUAGCUAGUUGGUAAGGUAACGGCUUACCAAGGCAACGAUGCGUAGCCGACCUGAGAGGGUGAUCGGCCACACUGGAACUGAGACACGGUCCAGACUCCUACGGGAGGCAGCAGUAGGGAAUCUUCCGCAAUGGGCGAAAGCCUGACGGAGCAACGCCGCGUGAGUGAUGAAGGUCUUCGGAUCGUAAAACUCUGUUAUUAGGGAAGAACAAAUGUGUAAGUAACUAUGCACGUCUUGACGGUACCUAAUCAGAAAGCCACGGCUAACUACGUG
rnacentral:rRNA from 1 species